AGAAAGAACUCACGAAAGAGACGGUCACGGUUACGCACACAGUUGGCAUGUUUUAAUUAAGUUAAAUUCAAGUUAUCUAGAACCGGUGUUAAACAAAGUUUCCACGUUGCCACAUAACCGCGGGCACGGCUUUCCGAAAGAUUUAACCCUGCAGGGGUGCCCCAACUAGUCCAUCACAAAUUACCACAAGCCGCAUAGAAAUCCUCAAUCACGAAGCUCGCGAUCUCGUCGGAUUCCCUAGUGUAAAACCUCAACUCUGAGAUUACCCAAAGCAUCACCGGAAUCCCGAUGCACAAGAUAUCUCGUCAAAGGUAAAACUAAUCCAGCAAGGCCGCCCGACGUGUCGACGAUCCCGAUAGGAGUCGCGUAC
rnacentral:lncRNA from 1 species